AACCUUUCUCGGCCUUUCGGCUAAGAUUAAGUGUAUUAUCUGUUUUUAUCAGUCUAAUCUGGUAUGUGGGCCAUUGGACCAUAUGGUAUUAAUUUUUUUUUUAGGGGUAGAUCCUAUCACAGUAAGCUUGCCACUGGGGCUCUCGUGUGUCGCCCAAGCUUCGCAAUUGCUCGGGCCUGGUGUACCCCAC